ACUGCUCAGUAACACGUGGACAACCUGCCCUGAGGACUGGAAUAAUCCCGGGAAACUGGGAGUAAUUCCAGAUAUGCCAGGGAACCUGGAAUGGUUUCUGGCAGAAAUGCUCCGGCGCCUCAGGAUGGGUCUGCGGCCUAUCAGGGUAGUAGUGGGUGUAACGUACCCACUAGCCUACGACGGGUACGGGUUGUGAGAGCAAGAGCCCGGAGAUGGAUUCUGAGACAUGAAUCCAGGCCCUACGGGGUGCAGCAGGCGCGAAAACUUUACAAUGCGGGCAACCGCGAUAAGGGGACCUCGAGUGCUGGGUUACAAACCUGGCUGUUGGGCUGCCUAAAAAGCAGUCUAUAGCAAGGGCCGGGCAAGACCGGUGCCAGCCGCCGCGGUAACACCGGCGGCUCGAGUGGUAACCGCUGUUAUUGGGUCUAAAGGGUCUGUAGCCUGCCGGCUAAGUCUCUUGGGAAAUCUGGCAUCUCAAGUGUCAGGCUGCCAGGGGAUACUGGUCAGCUUGGGACCGGGAGAGGUGAGAGGUACCUCAGGGGUAGGGGUGAAAUCUUGUAAUCCUUGAGGGACCACCAGUGGCGAAGGCGUCUCACCAGAACGGAUCCGACGGCAAGGGACGAAAGCUAGGGGCACGAACCGGAUUAGAUACCCGGGUAGUCCUAGCCGUAAACGAUACUCGCUAGGUGUCGGCCACGGUGCGACCGUGGUCGGUGCCGUAGGGAAGCCGUGAAGCGAGCCACCUGGGAAGUACGGCCGCAAGGCUGAAACUUAAAGGAAUUGGCGGGGGAGCAC
rnacentral:rRNA from 1 species